AAUCUACCUUUGGAUGGGGAAUAACCACCGGAAACGGUGGCUAAUACCGCAUAAUGCAGCGGCACCUAAUGGUGACAGUUGUUAAAGCGGGGGAUCGUAAGACCUCGCGUCUGAAGAGGAGCCUGCGGCGGAUUAGCUAGUUGGUAGGGUAACGGCUUACCAAGGCAAUGAUCCGUAGCCGGCCUGAGAGGGCGGUCGGCCACACUGACACUGACAUACGGGUCAGACUCCUACGGGAGGCAGCAGUCGGGAAUUUUGGGCAAUGGGCGAAAGCCUGACCCAGCAACGCCGCGUGAAGGAUGAAAUCCCUCGGGAUGUAAACUUCGCAAGAACAGGAAGAAUAAGUAAGGGUUAAUAUCUCUUACGAUGACGGUACUGUUUGUAAGCUCCGGCUAACUCCGUGCCAGCA
rnacentral:rRNA from 1 species